GAACGCUAGCGGCAGGCUUAAUACAUGCAAGUCGAGGGGUAACAGGUGUAGCAAUACAUGCUGACGACCGGCGCACGGGUGCGUAACACGUAUGUAAUCUGCCCUUAACUGGGGAAUAGCUCGAAGAAAUUCGAAUUAAUACCCCAUAACAUAAUGAAAUGGCAUCAUUUUAUUAUUAAAGCUCCGGCGGUUAAGGAUGAACAUGCGUCUGAUUAGCUAGUUGGUGAGGUAACGGCUCACCAAGGCAACGAUCAGUAGGGGGUCUGAGAGGAUGAUCCCCCACACUGGAACUGAGACACGGUCCAGACUCCUACGGGAGGCAGCAGUAAGGAAUAUUGGACAAUGGCGGAAACGCUGAUCCAGCCAUGCCGCGUGAAGGACGAAGGCGCUCAGCGUUGUAAACUUCUUUUGGAUGGGGAUAAUAACCUCGAUUUAUCGGGGCUUGAAGGUACCAUCAGAAUAAGCACCGGCUAACUCCGUG
rnacentral:rRNA from 1 species